rnacentral:rRNA from 1 species
AUUGAACGCUGGCGGCAGGCCUAACACAUGCAAGUCGAGCGGUAGCACAGAGAGCUUGCUCUCGGGUGACGAGCGGCGGACGGGUGAGUAAUGUCUGGGAAACUGCCUGAUGGAGGGGGAUAACUACUGGAAACGGUAGCUAAUACCGCAUAACGUCGCAAGACCAAAGUGGGGGACCUUCGGGCCUCAUGCCAUCCGAUGUGCCCAGAUGGGAUUAGCUGGUAGGUGGGGUACAGGCUCACCUAGGCGAAGAUCCCUAGCUGGUCUGAGAGGAUGACCAGCCACACUGGAACUGAGACACGGUCCAGACUCCUACGGGAGGCAGCAGUGGGGAAUAUUGCACAAUGGGCGCAAGCCUGAUGCAGCCAUGCCGCGUGUGUGAAGAAGGCCUUCGGGUUGUAAAGCACUUUCAGCGGGGAGGAAGGCAUUAAGGUUAAUAACCUUAGUGAUUGACGAUACCCGCAGAAGAAGCACCGGCUAACUCCGUGCCAGCCGCCGCCGUAA